rnacentral:rRNA from 1 species
GCCAGUAAUGGCAGGUCAGCAUACUGCCGUGAAUACGUUCCCGGGCCUUGUACACACCGCCCGUCACACCAUGAGAGUUGGAGAUACCCGAAGCCUGUGAGCUAACAAACGAGGCAGCAGUCGAAGGUAGAAUCAAUGAUUGGGGUGAAGUCGUAACAAGGUAAC